UACGUAGGGAGCAAGCGUUGUCCGGAAUCAUUGGGCGUAAAGCGCGCGUAGGUGGCUUCGUAAGUCCGUUGUGAAAGUCAAAGGCUCAACCUUUGAAAGCCGAUGGAUACUGCGGAGCUAGAGUACGAAAGAGGCGAGUGGAAUUCCUGGUGUAGCGGUGGAAUGCGCAGAUAUCAGGAGGAACACCAAUAGCGAAGGCAGCUCGCUGGGACGUUACUGACACUGAGGCGCGAAAGCGUGGGGAGCGAACAGG
rnacentral:rRNA from 1 species